UACAGAGGGUGCAAGCGUUGUUCGGAAUUAUUGGGCGUAAAGGGUGCGUAGGUGGUGAGGUAAGUCGGAUGUGAAAUCUCCGAGCUCAACUCGGAAAUGGCAUUGGAAACUACCUUGCUCGAGGGUUGGAGGGGGGGGACUGGAAUGCUUGGUGUAGCAGUGAAAUGCGUAGAUAUCAAGCGGAACACCAGUGGCGAAGGCGAGUCCCUGGACAACUCCUGACACUGAGGCACGAAAGCUAGGGGAGCAAACAGG
rnacentral:rRNA from 1 species